rnacentral:rRNA from 1 species
GGACGAACGCUGGCGGCGUGCCUAACACAUGCAAGUCGAACGGGACUAUAUUGAUUAAUCUUCGGAAGCGUUGGUAUAGUUUAGUGGCGGACGGGUGAGUAACACGUGAGCAACCUGCCUUUCGAGAGGGGGAUACCGUUUGGAAACGAACGCUAAUACCGCAUAACGUAACGGGACCGCAUGAUCCUGUUACCAAAGGAGCAAUCCGCUGAAAGAUGGGCUCGCGGCUGAUUAGAUAGUUGGUGGGGUAACGGCCUACCAAGUCGACGAUCAGUAGCCGGACUGAGAGGUUGAACGGCCACAUUGGGACUGAGACACGGCCCAGACUCCUACGGGAGGCAGCAGUGGGGAGUAUUGCGCAAUGGGGGCAACCCUGAACCGCAGCAACGCCGCGUGUGGGAAGAAGGUCUUCGGAUUGUAAACCAUUGUCUUCGGUGACGAUAAUGACGGUAGCCGAGGAGGAAGCUCCGGCUAACUACGUGCCAGCCGCGGC